rnacentral:rRNA from 1 species
CCUACGGGUGGCAGCAGUGAGGAAUAUUGGUCAAUGGUCGGGAGACUGAACCAGCCAAGCCGCGUGAGGGAUGAAGGUACAGAGUAUCGUAAACCUCUUUUGUCAGGGAACAAAGGCGAGGACGCGUCCCCGUCUGAGUGUACCUUAAGAAUAAGCAUCGGCUAACUCCGUGCCAGCAGCCGCGGUAAUACGGAGGAUGCGAGCGUUAUCCGGUUUUAUUGGGUUUAAAGGGUGCGCAGGCGGUCUGUUAAGUCAGCGGUAAAAGCCGGGGGCUCAACCCCGGACCGCCGUUGAAACUGGCAGUCUCGAGUUGGAGAGAAGUAUGCGGAAUGCGCGGUGUAGCGGUGAAAUGCAUAGAUAUCGCGCAGAACUCCGAUUGCGAAGGCAGCAUGCCGGCUCCACACUGACGCUGAGGCACGAAAGCGUGGGUAUCGAACAGGAUUAGAUACCCGAGUAGUC